CCUCCCUCGCACCCGUCCCGUCCGUCUGCGAUCUCCGCCGCGAGCCUCGACCCUCUCUCCUCGCCGCCUCCGCUGCUGCCGUUUCGCAGCUCGCAUUGACACGAUCGGACGAAGGUACGCGCUUCCUCUUCCUUCUGUGCACGAGCUCGAUUCCUCGCCGCCCCGAGCAGUAGAAACCGAUGCGUUCUGUAGUUCUGAAUCGACCUUCGCGAGCGACGAUGCGGUAGAUCAAACCUGUGAAAUUGGAUUCGCUGGAGAAAUAUGAGGAGAGAGCGAGAAUUUGAUCGUUUGCAUUGCGAUGAUCGGGCAUACCUGCCGAUGCGUGCUUGAUUUUGGCAUUGUGUAUACAUGAUCGAUGCCAUUACUGUUCGAAGAGAUCUUGCUUUGGAAGAAGCUAUCGGCUUGAUUUCGCUCUCCGGGAUUGCGGACCGGUUCUGGUUUCAAAUUUUCAGAACCUAUCCUUAGUGCGAUUCCUGGUUCCAGGAUGGGAACCGCUUACCCGGACCACGCUCCCCCUAAUUAGAGCCUUGGAGUCGGUCAUGUCCAACAAGAGCUCGAUGCCAUAACUGUUCGAGGAGAGCUUGCUAUUUGAAGCUAUCGGGCUGAUUUUGAUCUCUGAGACUCUUGUUGAUGUCCAAAUGGCAUACUAAAAGAUGAGGAGGGUGAGAAAUUGGACAAGGAGGAAGUUGUUGAGCUCCAUGACACCAAUGAUAGAGAGGUCUUUCAAAGUAAAAAGGGAGCUUUGACUUCCAUCUCAUGGUUGCUCAUUUUGACUUUCAAAACUGGGCUUAAUUCAUUAAGUUGGAACUGAGGUCUUGUGGCUUCCGGCACUGUUAUAGAAGCUUAACUUUGGUGAGCCGGCCUGGUGUUGAAUAUAACUGAGUGACAUCCGUUGCAGUCCAUGCUUCCUUGCUAGUGCAGCUGUAGUCUGCUGCAUAUAUGAAGAGAGAUUUUCUUAUAGUUAGACAUGUCAAAAUAAAAAGUCUUAUUUGCCGAAAUUGAUGCAUUUUUGGAGGAUUACGUACCCCAAGUUUGUGGCUCGUGCUGUAGUUUCGUAGUUUUGUUGCUGUGGUUGGCUAAGUUGGAGAUGAACAGGUACAUGAGAGUCCUCUCCGAUUCCUAAUCCAUUUGUCAGAAGAUUUCUGUUUGUUCCAUUCACAUCUCUCGUUCCAUAAACCUGGAAUGAAAAGUUUUCUAUCUAAGGCUAAAUAUAGGGCUCUGACAACAUGAUACUAUUGAUUGGUUCUAGAUUCUCAACUGGACAGCAGAUAUUUCAUCUCUUAUUAUCCAAAUCAAUACCUUCUUAUACAAUUCCACGUUUUCUUGACGAACGAGGUUUACCUUCUUAUACAACUCCACAUUUUCCUGAUGAAUGAGACUUCCCUGAAGAGAGAGUGGUAUUUAGAUAAUUGAACAAAUAUGGAAGUGACCACGAAUAUAUGUGAUUCAGCGUAAACCUUUCUGUUGAGUUCUUGUAUUUCAUCCAUUAGUAUUUCGUCCUGCAAUCCACAGACCUCAUAUUUAUCAUCUUUUGCACUAGAAACUAUGAGAACAAGCAUUUAAUUGGGGAUAGGACUUCAAACCUUUUUCAUUCGGACACCACGAAGACUCAUUUCCAGUUGGUUCUCCAAAUUCUGUAGAUCUUUGACGGUUAAUCCCGAGAGCUCUUCUCCCAUCAGUUGCCUAUUUUAUGUUGGUUGUUUACAAUUAAAAUUUGUAUACAAGGUUCAACAAAUCUGCUAGAAUAACACAAAUGCAAGAGAGAGAAUUUUUCUUCUAGAUGCCUCUCUUUUUACUGAAAAAUCUUACCUGUCUACAGUGCAGUGAACCAUUCAAAAACACUCCUUUAUUAACUGUUAUGUUGGAUAAUUUGUUUGUCACAUAUGUUGUCAGGAAAAGCCAUAGCACAAAUGGUUAAGCAUGUGGUUGACACUCUAACAGGGCAAGGAUUCAAAUCCCUACCCUGCAAUUAACCCAGUUAGAUUUUUUCAUGGUCAAAUCUGUUUCAAAGUGAAACUGAUUCACUAGUUUGACAUUUCUUGAUCCUGGUCAAACCCAGCCGUUUACCAGUUCUACGUUCUCACAUUAUAAUGGCAUGAACCAGAAAUUCAACCAGUGCUCUGUCUUGCUGGUUGAAUUGGCCACAAGUCUGGUUUAAACCAUCGGUAUGUAGAGAAUACAAAGAGGCCUUGAACAAGAGAAAUGGUAGGAUAUUAGCUGACUAGGUUGAUGGGCUAAAACUACUCUAACAGGAUGCAAUUCCCUUUUUUCAAUGGUCACUGACCUAUCAUGUCCUAUUUCAAUUAGGAAUGAAGUUCCUAUCUUUUGGUUACCGUCAAGAUUACAAUGAAGGCAAGCCUAGACAUGAGUUGUUGGCUCUUUUGUUUUUUUGAUCUUAUUUCUAUUUCCUUAAUUGUCUAAUCUUAACUGAAAAUUUCCUUGGUAGAUUAACUUAGUGGGUAAUAAAUGUACCUAUGAUUUUCUUGCAAGCUUUGCAGUUGUUGCCUCAAUGCUGCUGCUUCCCUUUGCCAAAGCUAGAGAAUGGAUGCAUCAUACGCGUUAGUUACAUGGCAAAAUAUGUGUGACAAACAUGCCUAAGCUUAUGUAGUUCACAUUACUGUGUACAUAGCUGUAAAAAUAAAAUGAUGAUGGCUUCAUCGAAUCACAAUGGUAUUACAGGAUAAUGAUGGCGAUGUUUUAAACUGUUAUGAAAUUACUGGUCAAAUAUGAAGGAAAUACUUGGUGAAGACUUUCGCUGUGGCAGCAUAUGUGUUACGUAGGAUAUGAAUACUUCGAUGCGUCAAGUUUGUUAAGUUUUUGCAAGAUUUUUGAUAAUUCGAAGUUGAAAUUUUUUAGAACAUAGUAACACAUGCCAUUGAUUCUGACUGAUAUAUACAUAGUGCAACACUUCUGCAUGGCAUGAGUUGUCUUGUGUAGCAUUUUGUUGAUCUAGUUGGUAUAGAAAUGCAUACAAUUCCAUGGGUUUUUGAUAGAUGAUGAUGCUACUAGUAUUUAAUCCAACUGCCCAAAGUUACUGCCAGCAAUCAACCCCUAUGCUGACUGUGGCAAACUAUAAGGAAAAGAUGAGCAUAAAGCUCUAUAUGACACUUAAAAUGCAAGAAACCCUUGUCACUGUGCUUGUUCACUUAGCUGCUUCUGAAAUGACAAAUACAGAGUAGGAACACGAUAAGGAUGAUUCUAUAGGGAUUGCUUUUAAAGUUUGAUAAUAACUAUCAAUGCCAGGAGUUUUUAUGUACUUCAGGUCGUGUCUGAAAUAGAUAUUGGCAUCCACACCAAUCUUAAGUUACAUUAAAUAACUUUGAAUAUCAUUGUAAUCAACCUUUAUAAGUUGCCUUGGACCAUUGUAAAAUUUGUCAAUUGAAGUUUCUUUGGCUUUUCAUCCUCAAUGUGUAAUCAUCCCCUCUGCUCCACUAUUCAUGUACUGGGCUCUAUUUUUCAAGUUAGAGAGGAGUUAUGGGCUUGAAGUGGAUUGGACUAGAUAGUCAAAAGAAAACGGAUUUCCAUAAUGAUACCCUGUCCAUUUGUUGGUUGAAUUAAGGGGUAAUAUUGAAGACCUUUUUAUCGUAUAGUUUGGGGAAUUCAUUCUGUAAAGUAUAUUUCAUUAGGCUCAAAUCACUUGUAAAUGAUUUGUAUGAUGGCUCAAUUAUGAUAUGUUGCUUCAGAAUUGACAAUACCUCUGUUAUGUGCACCGGUUCCACUGAUACACAAUAAAUCUAGUUGAUCUUAUAAUUCACUUUCAACUGUCGAAAUUUCAUGCUGCAAAUACAUUUGUUCUAGCUGUCUAGCUGUCAGUUUUAGAUAACUUUCUAGCAAUAGAUUCCUAUAAAAUAUAUUUGGAACAUCCGUGCAUCUUGUGGUCAUUCUACAUAUGCAUACAAGCAACUGCAUGAUCUUUAGUACAUGUACAGGUCCUAAAACUGGAUAAAGGUUGGGGCAAUAAUAGGGGUCUUACGUUGGGAUACCUUCAAGUAAGUUAACAGCCUGCGUGGUUUAGUUUCAGUUCGUUUACCGACUUUUUUAGGCUCUAACAGCUGGUAAUUUAUGGCAAAGAUCUUUUUCUGGCUGAUAUGGCGAGAUCCUAGAAAGCAGACAAGAAGAUUUAAGUAGGCUGCUGUUAAUGAAAAUUCUAAGCUUAUCUACAGAUCAGUUGUCCUUUGAAAUAAUUGUUCUGGAUAGAUCAUACUACACAAGAUCCUCUCAAGUAAUAGUUAGAUUACAAAGGUAACGCAUUUACAUUUUUCUGUAUACAAUUCAAUUCAGAUAAUAAAGGUAAUUAUUGGUUAAAUUAUUCUAUAUGCAGAUCAAUAACUGAAAUAUAAUCUGUAUAGCAUGACUUCUAUGUUAAUAUCUCUCAAUAUCAUAACCCUGUGAGGCUUGUCAACAGAUUUGGUCUACUUAGCGCCUCUUGUUCUUCUUCCUUCCCCUCUUUGCUAUGCUUGACUCUUUUCCUUAGUUUUUCUCUGAGUUUACUACUUGAUUUCAUGCAGCUUCAUGGUCCUUUUUCAUCUAUCCGACUAUAUUUGGGGAUUGAUAGUUGUAACUACAAUUUCCUUUUUUUAUACUCUGUUGGCCCUUCCUAUCUCAGCUGUCGCUAAUCAUUUAAAGAUCUGGCUCUUGAAAUGCAGCAGAGUUGUGCUACACAAUACCCGACCAUCCUACAGAAAUGAAUGUGUGGUGCUGUGGUAUUGUAUUGUUUGAAACUACGAUUAAUGGGUAAAAGAAUACCUUAACUUCAGAGGUUGGAUUUCCCAGCUGAUGGUGAUCCCCUUUUGAUUUGUUGUAUCUCUCAAUUAUUGAUUUCAUGCUGGAGCAGCAGAUACAAUCAUGUCAGAAAUGCAAUCUUGCCAGAAACAGCAUAGCAAAAAUUAAGUGGAGAUGCUGAAUGUGAUGUGCUAAUGAGGAACAGUUGCUCAGUUUGGUUUAAUAUACUUUUAACUGCUCAGUAACAGGUUCUCUUCUCCAAUUAUUUUUUUGUGCUUAGGUACAUUCAUAGGAUGUCCGACCAACAGGUCAUUGGAGUCAAUUUGAGACAGCAGGUUAUUAAUGUCUGUCAAUUAUAGCUCGAUAACGAUGUGUGGAGGAGAAAAAAGUUGAAGAUAAGUACAUCCUUUUGUCUUUACUUAUAGUAUCUGAAUUCAGUCUUGUGAAUUUCCCGUAUGCUCUUGUAUUCUUGCCUAUCCUUGAAGACUUUGACAUAAAACAAAAAAAAUUCAAAAUAAAGUAUCUUAGUACAUCCCCUUUGAAUUUUUGCUCAUAUUCCUCAGGACACUGCAUUCAAAGACAUGCAUACCGAGAUGAACUUUUAAAAUACAUGCAUUCAAAGCUUUUAUGGGUGUCAUCGAUUUCUCACUAUUGCAAAUCAGUUGUGAAGAGAACUAAAUACCAGUGUUUUCAGAACUGGACCUAUUUGCCCAUGUGGUCGGUUCAACCGGUGGAACCGCUAGUUUAAUUUUUCUGUACUUUAAAAAGAGUUGCUGACGUACGUCAUAUGUGGAAGCUUAUCUAUGUGGUUAAAAGCACUUCAAAUUAGUAGAUUUGAUCCUUGGUACGCUGCAAUCACUUUUUAUGCUUUGGCUUGUCAGUAAGCAGUAAGUAUUCUUGUCUCACAUUAAAAAAGUAAGAGCGAUCUGUGGCCCAGUGGCAAUGACUAGCAUAUGCGCUUGAGGUUACUGUUUCAAACCUGGAGCAUGCAGCUUGUUGCUUUUUUAACAAAAGACCAGUUCUGACCCAGUCCUGACCCAGUUCAAUUGAAGUGGGUCAACAUUUGUUCAGUCCAGUCCGCUAUUGGACCAUUAGCAGUUUUACUAGCUUGAACCAUGACAGACAAUGAAACGGUUCCUCCCUGCUCUAACUGGUUGAACAGGUCAGACUGGCCUGGUUUUGAAACACUGCUGGAAAGAGUUUAGAUGCAUGUUUGCAUUUGCUAAUGGCUGACGGUUAAUGAUUACUGUAUGGAAUAAAUCAGUUAUGUCAUUUGAAAUAGGGAGAACUAUGCCUAAAAUUGUGCUGAAGUGAGGAUGGCAGGAACCAUUUGCUAUUUGUAGAAUGGAUAGCUAAUUGAAACUAUGCCUAAAUUGUGCUGUACUUGCUAAUUGAAACCAUAGAGAAUCUUUGGGAAUAAAAAUUUUGAUCUUGUUGUGGACAUGGAUGAUAUUAAAGGAGUGGAUGAUCAUAAAUGCUCGGUGUCUGCUGGUGCUUAAUAUCAAGACAUUUGGUUUACAAAUUGCCUAUAGAAACCAGAAUCAGUGGAUUGCAAUGUAUUGGUGCUUUGAAGAGUAAAUGCUCUCAAGAGAGAGAACAUGACACCGUUAUCACCUCUAUACAGAGUGGAGUGUAUGUCCUUGGAAUGACUUAAGUUGGUGGUACUUUUUGCAUUUCUGCACUCUAUCAAUCACCCCUUUACUUCCCAAAUUAUGAAAAAGUUAAUCUGUGUGGUAAUAUAACAAAUGUAACAAUUAUCAAAUGCUGAAUGAAUCUCUGAAUUCUUGCACCUUCAUAAGAGGCAGUUAUGACUAGCUUUCUCUUCACUUCCCAUCAUAUGACAAGAUCCACCAGGCUUUGGGUAUUAUUAGCAUACGAUCUUGGUUGGUGCGAUUAUAAGGGUGGGGAUAUGUGCAGCAGGUGUUAAGAGAGGAUGCUUUCAUACUUUUAUUUCCUCCAUAAAUAGUUAAGAGGUUAUCUUCCAGAUGGUUUUGCAUCUGUGCCUUGGAGAUAGUAAAUACUUGAAUGUCAUAAAGUUGAGAACUGCAAUGAUUAAUCUAUUGAAAGAAUUUGCCAUUAUUAGGAAUAGUCACUGUGAAAGUGAGCUUAUAUUGAUGGUGCAGCGUUAGAGAAAAACUUAAUUAGGUGUGCGAUGUCCAGUGCAAACUGCAGCACUCACCAGUCACCACAGAUAAAACUAAGAACAAAGGAAGAGUAUGCAUAACAGGCAACAUAUGCAUUGGGCACCUUUUACUAGGAUGCAUUAACCUCUUUGGACUGUAUAGAAGCUUUCAGCAGCUCCAUUAUAUCACUUUGGGGAUGCAAUCCAUAGAGGGGAGUCAAAUCUUUAGUCUCCUAACAUCUUGUUUGCCUAAUGCUGACAAUGGAGUCAUGGCUGGCAAAUCUACUUCUCCUCGCCUUGUUUCUGAGUAAUCUUCACCUUACAUGUGUGUUUAGUUCAUGCCUACUUUCACUUGUCAACAAACAACUUUUCAAGAAAACCACAUAAAUGUUAACAACCUGAAUGAGGUUACUGUUGCAAUGUGACCAACAUCUUAUCCUGACGUGCCAUUAACGAUAAUCUCUUUUUCAAAUGCUUUUCUGCAUUGUAAUGCAUGCCUUCAUCUACGCUCUCCUCAACUGAAAUAUGAGGCCUAAUCUGAGCUGCAAUUGAUGAUUAUUCCUUUAAAUGUUUUUCCUGUGCUAUAUCUUUCAAUAGACUGCAUGACAGACCAAGCCAUUAGAUCAUCAACUUCGAUACCACUUCAGCUUUUGAUGGAAAUCGAUUAUCUUGGGUUGGGAAGUCAAAUUGCCAAGGAUUUUGACACCAGGUUUUCUCAAAGUCUGCAAAAGGUUUCUAGUGGAAAUCCAACAACUCAAAAUAGAGUCAAUGCCAAGCCUUAACAUUCUGACCGAUUAUAGGUAGAAAUGAUAACUUUUUGACGGUUUUACUAAGAUUCUACACCCUGUGAGCAGAAGGAAGGAGGUGGAACACCAUGUUGAUGGAAGCCCUCUUUCCACAGCCUGUGGGCAGCUGCCAAUUUCUUGAAUCAGAACUCUAUACUUAGAACCAUCAUGCAGAGCAAGAUAUGCAUCUUUAAAUCACUUUAAAGCUUAGAUCAAUGAAUGGAAAGAAAAAGGGGAUCAAGGCAGUUCAUUUUCACUUCGGUUAGUUUAUUGUGGUCUGGUCAUGGCUUGGGACAAGUGCUAUUGUAGUCUUCUCCUACGGUAGCUGCAGAUUCUGUACCAAACUAUGUUCAGAGGGCAACACAGCCGACUUGUUUUCGAAUAAGGUCAAAAACAAACCCGGGUUGGUUAUCUGUUUUACUUUUAUAAGGCAACCAAUGUGCAGGUGUUGACUUAUUAUGGUGUUGCAUCUGGUCAUGAUAGUUGAAAUGUCCACACUCUGGUAGGUGGUUUACGUUCUGCUUCUAUUGGGAGACAACAGGUUCUCAGGGUGGAGGUGUGUUUUGCUUGCAUUUAGAAGAGAUUGCUCUUUGAUAGUGGUUCGUGCCUGUGAUGUGACAAUUCCACCCAUUGAAAGUUCACCUUGACAGAAGCAAUGGGAAGUUCAAAUCACGCACUGAAAAGAAAUGUCAAGGCAUGGCUACCUUCCAGUUGGAGUAAAUUUCUGACAUCUACUCUUCUUUUCUACUUCUUCUUUUGUGGUAGUAAUUGGUGCAAACCUUUACGUUCAGGGUAAUAUUUUCCAAAUUCUAUCUCAUUACUAAGUCCAAUGCGGGCUUGACGUGUUCUACAACUCUAGUUGACCAGUGAUUUUAAUGUCAUUGGAGUAGGUCUGUCCUGAUGCUAAUGAUUUUAUGGAGUAGGUUACAAUUUUGGGGGAGUUAGUCUUACUAGAUAUUAUGGUGUUUUAGUUAACUGGGUAUAGUGUUGGUAUAUAAUUGUUACUGUGUUGGUUAGUAGUUAUUAUGCUCACAAGGAUUUCCAUCAUUAUGGAAAUUUGAUAGUUGGUUGUUGAUAAUGCAUUACAUGGCACUGCAUCUAUCUUGCUACUAAAUGUAGUGUAUACAAUGUGAAGAAGCAACAAGUCUGGGAAAAUGAGCACAAACAAAUGGGCUUGUGCACUUUAACGCUUAUGACAUUUGAGUGGUCUUUGAACUGGAAGAAGCUCUUUGGCUUGUUUGGGAAAAAGGAGGGGAGGUGGAAAAUGAAAUUGGGUUUGAAAAUUGGGGAAAGUUUGAAUAUUUUGGGAAGCAACUAUGAGAGUGAUAAGUUAGGGAAAACUUUGCAAAGCGGUUUGCAUUUGUGAAGUUUUGAGUUAAGCAGAUAAGUAGCUGCGUUUAAUUUUGGGCCUUGAAAAGAUAGGCUAAGGGCUCAAAGAGGUCAAAAUAACUUUUACCAAAUUCAAACUUUUAGUCAAAUGGCUUUGAGAGUCUAAAGCUAGUAUUUAAAGUCUUUCCAAUCUCUGCCUAAGCUCGUCAGAACCUAAAUCCAAAUGCUUUUGUGAUGCUAUCUGUCGACUGUGUCAAAUGUUAGACAUGAUAAAGGCUUAGUUGGUAAAGAUCAGUCUAGCUGUAGUUGUGCUUGAGCCUCACCGGCUCUUCGCCAGUUGAACAAGAAGGGAAGAAGGGGAGGAACAGGAAGGAAAAAAAUUGACUUUUGAAUGCCCAGUAGUGACAUGUUGAUGUUGGACGUCACACUUACCAUUUAAGGUUCAAGGAAGUAUAAGACAUUGCAAAUAGUAUCCUCAUGAGAGUUGGGACAUACCUAAGCUCCAUUUAUGUAGGGUGCAUUUAGUAAAACAUUGCAAAUAGGAUCCUCACAUUUCAUACAAUCUCUACAAUCACUUUCUCUUCAGUCCCUUUUGCUAAACUACGACAUGACAUAUGUAACCAAGAAAGCUAAAACAAUGACUUCCCUUCACAGCCUAGGUGCUCGUUUUUAUGCACUGAACCUAGAUGAUGGAAUUCCCUGGGCCCUAUUCACUCUGUUCCUCUGCUUGAAAGGCAAGUUGAAUUAGUAAGGUGUUCCAUCGAUUCACACAAAAGAACUUCUAACUGGCCAUUUCAUCCCAUUGAAGCUAUCGAUCCAAAUCCAAUCUAGAUGCAUCAACUUAUGGUUGGUUCUAUUUUGCUCUCUCCAAUCAUUCUACUAAGGCAUUUGAUUCUAUGUCACUCAAUAGAGGGGAAAAUCCAAGACGAUUAAAUUUAGGACCUAUACUUCAAUUAGAGGCACAAAGAAGACCAGUACAAUAGCACAAAAGUAUCCAUCACACAUAAUACAGUGUCAAGCAUUUGAUAACGAAGGUGUAGAAGCUCUUUACACCUUAGAAAGAGGCGUUUAGGCCAUCUUCUUUGCUUAGUGUAAUUACUAGUCUGGGAGAAGGGAUGCUCUGUUUUUAGAAGGCUAUCUAUGUAAACAACAUGAAAAGUUAGAGAAUGAAAUUAGGCUGGAUUCUGAGGCGACAGAAACUCAAUAUGUAUGAUUUAGAGGUCGAAUUACUCAUUCAUUUACAGGUGUUAUGAUUGUAUAAAAAAUAUGGAUCUAUGAAAAGUGGUUUGUUGAGCAAGACAUGUUUUGUUUGAGUGGCACGUCAUAUUUUUCCUUUUUCUUUUAAAUAAGGUUUUGUACUGAUCUGAAUAAUUGAUCGUUCCACCGAGGGUUAAGGAUUGGCUGUGUUCUAGUUCUGGCCAUGAAACAGUCAAUUCUAUGUAGGAAUUGAACAGAUUGGGUUUAAUAGCCCUGGAGCUAGUUGCUAACAUGAUUUAGAAGAAGUAAAAAGUUUAAACAAAAAAAUCACCGACUCUGAUGAGAAGUCCUCAUCGACCACUUAACGCAUGAACACCAGCAGUUGUUGUUAUCUAAAAAUGGCUACUAAAGAGUCUGACAAGCUAAGUAAAAAUCUAACCAGAGCAGGUUGUGAUGAAAAUUCAAGCACCUCAAAUUUGAUUGAUGUCUUGCCGAGUCAUUUGCAGGACAUCGACCAAAAUUGGAAUUCUCUUCACCUCAAGAAAGGGAGACAAAUAUAUGGUAAUCAAAUAAUGAGAACAAACAACAGGUCAUCAACAUACAUUUGGUGCGAGUUUGAAGGGCAGGUGUAUGAUAUGUAAAUGACAUGCAUGUACCUUCUCUUGAAGUAGAGAUUCUGAUUCUCUUCUCUCAAUUGAGUUCCCCUAUCAUUAAGAUAUAAGAGUUUGAAAAUGUGAAAGUAAAACUUUUUAUUGGGCUAUAUUUUCUUCUAUCACUAGUUGGCUGAAGUUCUCAUUAUUAGGAAAAAUCCCUAUGGUGCUUUGAGAAUGACAAAACAUUCUAAGUAAACUAGCAUAUGCUAGUGUGUAGAAGAUAUUACCUCUACUUACACAGAUUUAUAUGCAGAUGGUGUUAGUAAUAGGACGCUUAAGAGUGUAGAACUAUAUUUGCUCUAGAGAAGGUGAACAAGCUAUCGAACGUGAGCUAUGUUGAAGACUAGAUGGACCUUGCAAAUUGAGAAUUAGUUAUUGGAGGAAUAUGUUGAUGUUUGGGAUUGUGAACAAACCAGAUGAUGUAUGAUUGUCAAAAGGAUUUGGAUUGACCAUCGGAAGGUGAAUGAACUAGAGGACAUGAAGAUGUCAAUAAACUUAGAUGGACCUUGCCAAUGGUUAACAACCUAGAGGGCAUGUGAUCAUGGAAGAGUUUGGGUAGACCAAGUAGAAGGUGAACAUUCUAUAGAACAUAAGGACGUCAAUAUGCUUGAAUGAAUUUAAAUGGAGGAGGAGAACAAGCCUGGGUAUAUAAAAGCUUGGAUGGACUUGACUGCAGACGGUGCUGUUGCUAAGAGUUGUGAUUCUGCUAUGAGCCUCUAUAAUCCUGGAGGGAAGAUCCAGACUCUUUAUCAAUUUGAUUUGAAUUCAAUUAAUGUUUUUUAGUAGGUUGUUGGAUUCCACAAAAAGUGGACUUGAAAAGAACAAUUUACCAUUUUUGGGCAGGCACCCUAGAAUGAUAGAAUGCUGGCGAAGCAGAACUGACUAUUUUGAGAAAUUGUCGCUUCAGAGCUGUAGAGUGACAUUUUGCGAUUGCAGAUAGUAGAAUUAACGGCUACUCAUGGGAUUUGAAUUUCAAGUGGUCAUUUGAGAUUUCAUGGCUAUAAAUAUAACCCAAGAGAUAUAAUACACUUGAGUGUUCAUCUUCUUGUUGUCCUUGUGUGUAGAAGUAGUGUACAUAUGAUUGUAUUUGUCUGAAACAAAAAUAAGAUAAGAAAGUGUUCGGUGUCGUUAGGAUUGCUUGUGUUAUGUAAAGGGAGAUCUAUAAGUAGAAGGAAGUAUCUUCAAAUGUUGUGGCAUCUCAAGGAUAAAUAGUGAACUCCACCUCUGAUUUGCUGUUAGAACUGGGAGAGUGGAGUAGAAGAUUACUGUUUCUGUAUACACGAUUGUUUUUGGAACACCAAUGCAUGUUCUAUACACAGUCCAAUACUUUUAGUGAAUUUUUUUUUUGAAUUUCCUUAGAUAACCAAUUCACCCCUUAUUAGUUGUUUUUGUCUAAUCCAUUUAUUAUCCUCGAACAUGCCUAUGAUUGGUGGGUUAUAAAUCAUGGAUAUUACUCACAAACAAACUUAACUAAAUAAAAAUGUGUGUAAUGUGCAUAACUUCUAAUUCACCAAUCAAAAGAUUGAUUAGAGAAAAAGUGGCCAUUUUGCAUUGGCCUUUUCCUAGUGAUCAAGGGAAAGAAAGUUAGAAAUAAGAAAGAUUCAUGGAAGCUAGUUAUUAUGGGAAAGAAAGGCAGAUAUAAGAGAGAACUUAUUGAGCUUCCCUCCUGCAUUUUGGUCUCUGUCAUUAUUCUUUUUUAUCCUAAUAAUUAAGGGCACAGGUGUGGAGAACCUUAUCCAGAGCAGAUUAUACACGAUUGGUGGGAUUUGAACAAGUGACAUCCAAUUCAUGAAGAAAAAAUCUUCCAACACUCUUAACUAAUUGCGCCAACCUUGAGGGGUUGUUCUUUUUCAUUGUUCUCGUCUUUAAAAUGAUUCUCUAACAAAAAUAAAUCAAUUAAAAUUGGGUUAGUGAUUUUAUUGAAAUUCAUCUAUUGAUUUGUUUGGUAGGUCCUCUCUCUCUCUCUCUUCCUGGAUGUAAAUGUGCUCUCUAGAAAGUUGGCCAAGUUAAAUAGAUACGUAUAGUGCCACAUUUGUUAUGGACUUAUUUUUUUCCAUGUAAUAACUGGAGAUCUAUCCCUUCCUUCUCUUUGUCCCACCAAUUUGAGCGACUCUACGAUUUUCAGUGAAGUCCGUAAAUAAGCGUUUUUUGAUC